rnacentral:rRNA from 1 species
AUGGAGGCUGGGUCUUCCUUGCUAUCUGGUUCUGGUGAUGCAGAAGAGCAUCUGGUGGAGCCCGGCAACUCACUGCGGAUAAGUUUUCUUAUAUUUGAUCUGCCGUCCUUGCUGCUUCAUGAGCCGCUCAAGAGUCUGUGCCACACUGAAAAUGUAUGCAUUAAUGGCUAUUCACAGACGGAGAGCUUACCUGAACAAUGGCUGCUACAGAACCGCUCAUCCCUCCGAUACCUGGGUAUACAGAAAGCAGAAUCCUUGGAAUCGCUCCCACCGAGCAUGCAAGACCUUUGCUCUCUCAAGUCAUUAUACCUUGAUGGUGCUCUGCUACUCCGAUCACUUCCAUAUCUUCCCUCCUCCUUGAAGAAUCUGAGCAUUAGGGAAUGCCAUCCAGACCUGGAGAAGAAGAUCACAAAACAUGGAAGCUCUGAAUUGAACAAGACUGCCCACAUCCCUGAUGUGACAAUAGGAGGUUGGCAUUUCCUCAUGGGCAAGAAAUUCAGCAGAGAGGCUUACCAUAAACUGAGUGAUAGUGACCGCAACAGAUUUAUGUCCGAGUCGUCGUUGCACUAG